AUUGAACGCUGGCGGCAUGCCUUACACAUGCAAGUCGAACGGCAGCACGGGAGCAAUCCUGGUGGCGAGUGGCGAACGGUGAGUAAUAUAUCGGAACGUGCCCAGUCGUGGGGAUAACGUAGCGAAAGCUACGCUAAUACCGCAUACGAUCUAUGGAUGAAAGCGGGGGAUCGCAAGACCUCGCGCGAUUGGAGCGGCCGAUAUCAGAUUAGGUAGUUGGUGAGGUAAGGCUCACCAAGCCGACGAUCUGUAGCUGGUCUGAGAGGACGACCAGCCACACUGGGACUGAGACACGGCCCAGACUCCUACGGGAGGCAGCAGUGGGGGAAUUUUUGGACAAUGGGCGGCAAGCCUGAUCCAGCAAUGCCGCGUGCAGGAUGAAGGCCUUCGGGUUGGUU
rnacentral:rRNA from 1 species